rnacentral:rRNA from 1 species
GACGAACGCUGGCGGCGUGCUUAACACAUGCAAGUCGAACGGAAAGGCCCUGCUUUUGUGGGGUUCUCGAGUGGCGAACGGGUGAGUAACACGUGUGUAACCUGCCCUUGACUUUGGGAUAACUUCAGGAAACUGGGGCUAAUACCGGAUAGGAGCUCCUGCUGCAUGGUGGGGGUUGGAAAGUUUCGGCGGUUGGGGAUGGACUCGCGGCUUAUCAGCUUGUUGGUGGGGUAGUGGCUUACCAAGGCUUUGACGGGUAGCCGGCCUGAGAGGGUGACCGGCCACAUUGGGACUGCGAGACGGCCCAGACUCCUACGGGAGGCAGCAGGGGGGAAUAUUGCACAAUGGGCGGAAGCCUGAGGCAGCAACGCCGCGUGCGGGAUGACGGCCUUCGGGUUGUAAACCGCUUUCGCCUGUGACGAAGCGUGAGUGACGGUAAUGGGUAAAGAAGCACCGGCUAACUACGUG